AUGCCAACAAAUCACCGAUCUAUCCAAAAACAAAACAGUCCCUGCACAACAAAAACCAGUUCAGGAAAGUACACCAAAAUCCUACAAAAAACAUGUGAAAAUCUUUGCCCACUAACUACAAACCAUGAUACAUUCCAUUCAAACCAAAAUCCAAAGACAAAUAAGCUAAUACAUACAUUACUACAUCACCUAUAUGUUCAUGAACCGCAAAAUCAAUUCAAUCAACAAAUUGUGGCAGUGCAAUCUUAUAUGCCAUGA